UACGAGUGCUCCAAGCGUUAUCCGGAAUUAUUGGGCGUAAAGGGUGUGUAGGCGGUUUUGUUAGUCGGUUGUUAAAACUCCUCGCUUAACGGGGAAGGUGCAAUCGAAACGGCAAAUCUAGAGGAUGCGAGAGGUGAACAGAACUCAUGGUGUAGGGGUGAAAUCCGUUGAUAUCAUGGGGAAUACCAAAUGCGAAGGCAGUUCACUGGCGCACUUCCUGACGUUGAAACACGAAAGCGUGGGUAGCGAA
rnacentral:rRNA from 1 species